GUUGUUCCUCACACCACUGACUGUAAGCCCAUUUGGUUUCAUUCUCAUCAGUAUUUAACAGGCUGCUCUCAUUCUUACCAGAUAAAGACCCAAAGACAUGGCUCAAAAACAGCAUGAUGCACAGCGUGGGGACCUGAUUGAAUUUUACCAUGGGGAGUAUCAGCACUGGGCUGUGUACAUUGGUAAUGAUGAAGUUGUCCAUGUCACACUUCCAGAACACAAAAAAAGUGAUAAAAACAGUACUAUCCUGGAAGCACUCAAGAUGGGCACUGGAGCAACAUUGGCACGUGAGAGCAUCUGGGAAGCAGCUGGCACUGAUGAUUUUAGAGUCAACAACCUCCUGGAUGGCGAAUACAACCCUCUCAACCCUGAUAACAUUGUGACAAAGGCGCUUGACAUGGUGGGUCAAGACUGGAAAUACAAUUUGAUUACUCACAACUGCGAGCACUUUGCCACAGGCCUACGAUACGGCAUAGAACAGUCCAGACAGGUUAAGGAGGCCAUCGUGGUAACAGUGGCAUCAGCUCCUGCUACUGACUUACCUUUUUUGAUUGCAUACAUACUGUGGAAAAGUGUAAAAUAAUGCUAAUGAUUAAUACACAAUGCAUUGAUGAAGCAGUGUCGUUGCCCAGAAAUAGAAGGUUACAGGAAUCUGGACUGCUUUGAUAAACAGAAAGGCUCAUGACACAGAAUGUCACACACGCUUACAUUAACAUACACAUAGUAUUUUGUCACAUAUAGUCAUAUUCAUACUAUUUUUCAGCAGCUCUGUGAGAGUGUCACUCUCUCUCUCCUCUGCAUCCAAGAAGGAGAGCGGAUAGGGAAAACAUUGUGCAGACGGGCUCCACCCCGUGAAGACAAAUGUAACACACACGAAACUCGUCUCUUCUUUGAUUCUGCAUGGCAAGAGGAGUAGACACUCAGCCGAGUAUUUACCUUACAUGUGGUCUUUGGAAUAAAGUUUGAGUCUAGAACUGAACUUAAGCCUCUCUUGUCCCUCUGUCCAAUGAAGAACUGAUGCUUUAUGCUUUAUCUAACACUAGUGAAUCAAGAGUCUGUAAGUUUUUAUAGCUGUGCUUUGGUAUUUUGGACCCUUGGCCUUUACUCACCCAGAAAUUGUUACAAGUUUUAUUUGAAGUCAUCAAACAUCUUCUUUCUUAUUAAAAUUAUACACUGGCUUAAUGUAUUUUAAAAGAGCUUUUGUUAUGAACGUUUCAUUCCUUUAGUAUAUAUUUUUCAUCUUUCAUGUCAGUUUACUUUAUAAAUUUGUUCACCAAAUAAAUCUUACCUUUUC